AGAGAGAGGGAGAUAUAAACCUACGACACAGAUGUCAUCCCCAUCCGUAGCAGAGGGUGCUGCGCCCCUUUCCGGUGCGGGGGGUACGGAUGCUGCCGCGCCUGUGGCAUCCGCGGGGCUUCUCCAGGUGAAGAACAUCAUUCUCGUUCUUAGCGGAAAGGGCGGCGUUGGGAAGUCGACCGUGGCGUGCCAGCUCGCCCUCGCGUUGGCGCAUGUGCACCACAAGCAGGUGGGACUGCUGGACGUGGACGUAUGCGGCCCAAGUGUGCCCAAGAUAUGCGGCCUCGAGGGACGCGACGUGUACAGAGGGGAGAAGGGGUGGAUGCCUGUGUCGUCGCAGGCGAAGGCAGCCACCGCCGGCAGCCCCGGCUCCGCUCCCGGCGCGAUGGCGCCAUCGGGGGACUUGAAGGUCAUGUCCAUUGCGUACUUGCUUCCGAGCGACAAGGACGCGGUGGUGUGGCGCGGCCCAAAGAAGGACGCCAUGAUCAAGCAGUUUGUGACGGACGUGAACUGGGGCCCGCUGGACUACCUCAUCAUCGACACCCCGCCGGGCACGAGUGACGAGCACCUGACGCUGUGCGAGGUGCUGCGCAGCUUCCGCCCUUCCGGGGCCGUCGUCGUGACCACACCGCAGGACGUCUCCACCGACGAUGUCAAAAAGGAGCUGUCUUUCUGCCACAAGCUGCAGCUGCGGUGCCUCGGCAUCGUCGAGAACAUGUCCGGCUUUGUCUGCCCGCACUGCGCGCACUGCACCGACAUCUUCUCAAAGGACGGUGGAAAAAAACUGGCGGAGAUGUACGAGGUGGCGUUCCUCGGUGCGAUUCCGAUUGACCCGAACUUGUCUCUGGCUGAGGAUAUGGGUCGUGUCUUCGUGAAGGAGUCUCCGUCGCAGACCGUGGAGGCGGUGACGGCGGUCAUCGACGCCAUUGUGCGGCAGGUCGAGCGUGCGAAAGUGUAAGCGCUUGGAGGAACGGGCUGUGGAAGACCGGAAUCGAAUACGAAGCGGAAGCGCGAGCUGAGGCGUACGUACUCCGUUCAAGGCUUCCAGCUCCCGCGUGCGAGGGUGUGCCUUUCUCUCUCGUGUGUGUUUCGACCUUGGCGGCCGUGAAGGGCACCCUCCAUCCUCGCCGUCUCUCCAUCCCAGUCGCUCACCAACGCCGGACGCGUCGGCUUUAUGCCCGUCUUCACGGGCUGGUGAGUGCUCUUCGCCGUUGCUUCCCCCGACAGAGGGGAAGCGGGAAAGAGAAAGCCACACGCGGACACCAACAUCCUGCAGAUCAACACGCAGAUGCCACAGAAAUGGCGCCGAUUCUAUCUAUAAAUGUGUGUGUGUGUAUACAUGUGCCACCAUCGCUGUCGCCAUCAUCGAUGACUGUUUCUCUGCUGUGGCGACUUUUCUGUGUCUUGCUCGCGCCUCGUCCUUCUCAUCACAUCCGCGUACCUCCGGCGUCGCCCUAUCCACGUAUAUAACGCACACACAGUCACACCAACGUAUUCCACGUGUGCGCGUCAACCGUGAACAGGCCCGUCUCUGCGUGUGAGUUUACUGCGCUGGGCUCGUGUAGCGCGCUGCGGAUUUUUUCUUUCUGUGAACUCCCGUACCCGCCGAACGCGGUGGCAGCGCGUGAGGGCGGAGACGGCUGCACAAAAACAGGAUAGAAACAUAAUAGAUCGGAAGGCAACUGGACACGGCAGUCUAUAGGCGGCUUUCCGUGCUCACAAUCUACCUUUUCCUCCCUUUCUCCCCGGUCAACUG
rnacentral:misc_RNA from 1 species